AGUGAACGCUGGCGGUAGGCCUAACACAUGCAAGUCGAACGGCAGCACAGGAGAGCUUGCUCUCUGGGUGGCGAGUGGCGGACGGGUGAGGAAUACAUCGGAAUCUACUCUGUCGUGGGGGAUAACGUAGGGAAACUUACGCUAAUACCGCAUACGACCUACGGGUGAAAGCAGGGGACCUUCGGGCCCUGCGCGAUUGAAUGAGCCGAUGUCGGACUUAGCUAGUUGGCGGGGUAAAGGCCAACCAAGGCGACGAUCCGUAGCUGGUCUGAGAGGAUGAUCGGCCACACUAGAACUGAGACACGGUCCAGACGCCUACGGGAGGCAGCAGUGGGGAAUAUUGGACAAUGGGCGCAAGCCUGAUCCAGCCAUACCGAGUGGGUGAAGAAGGCCUUCGGGUUGUAAAGCCCUUUUGUUGGGAAAGAAAUCCAGCCGGCUAAUACCUGGUUGGGAUGACGGUACCCAAAGAAUAAGCACCGGCUAACUUCGUGCCAGCCGCCGCCGUAA
rnacentral:rRNA from 1 species